UUAUUACACAAGGCCUGAACAAAGGAAAAGGAUUGGUAUUAUUCGAUUAUGAAGAUAAAGAGCUUGAAAGAAACAGUCUUGACCUGGAUGUUAAUCUUAACAAUUUAAUGGCAUGAGCGUUUAAAGCUUUCAAGACUCAAAAGUUUUGCUUUCCUGAGGGUUAUGUGUUUUUGGAUUAGUUUCGAUGAGCCUUGUUCUUUGGGGGCAAUCCGAAAAAAACUGAUGCGCAAAAAAGACCUCCAAAAUCUGUCAGGAAAACCAGAAUUAUUGUGCUGGUGGUGAUGACACAAGAGUUGAGUAAUGGCAUGAAGGAUGGAAAGCAAGAAGUUGGCUGCAGAAAAAGGAAGAAGGUUGUGCGAGAAAGAAGGGGAGAGGUCAAAUAUUAUGGCUAAAUACCUAAAACUUAUCCAAAAUGAGGGAUUGCUAAUUUUUUUUUGUGUUAUGACCUGAAAUUAUCAGGGAUUGGAGUGACCUCAAAACCCGACAAUUCAACGUUUUUGAAAUCGAAAGAUGCAUAAUAUUGUUCUUAGUUGAAACGAAAAAUUAUCGUAAUGUUUUGGCAUAUUUGCAUGAAUGGUUGGGUUAUGAGUAUAUACUUUCCUGCAACAUGUUUAGCAAUAAAUUUUUUAAAUUUAAAUUAUAUUUAAAAAA
rnacentral:lncRNA from 1 species